rnacentral:tRNA from 1 species
GCCCAGGUAGCUCAGUUGGUAGAGCAGUGGAUUGAAAAUCCACGUGUCGAUGGUUCAACUCCGUCUCUGGGCACCC